GUGCAUUAAUUCAAAACAAGUGAAAUAUGAACUAGAGAAUACAAGGCAAAAGUAACUUAGUUUCAUUAGCUUUAAUCUAGAGGGGCUGGGCUGCUUUCUGAAAUGAUCUCAGAUCGUUUUCGUUAUUAUACUCGUGCUCCAUGAAUGACUCAACGGUUAGAGAAGCUUAAGUUGCUGUGUUGAGCUCGGGAGCUGCAGUACUCGAGUAAACUGGGUGAAGUACAUGGCCAUCCUUGGGCUCAACAUGAACCCACUUGCGACCACUCAACUUGUGGUGCUCAAACUUUACACAACCUUCUUUCAGAGCAUAGAGUGUGUGGUCUUUCCCUAUCCCAACGUAGUUUCCAGGAUGAAAUCUGGUUCCCCUUUGACGAACAAUGAU
rnacentral:misc_RNA from 1 species